AAAUUCAUUUCGUUGUUUACUUGCUAAAAAUACUCAUAGAUCACGUGACUAGGUAACUAUAAAUACACUGGGUCAUACGCAUUCUUUAUCGACUCUCGCUAUAACCUCGAUUCACGUUAAAUCGAGAAUCACGAGCAUGGAAACGGACCGCCUUGAAGAAGAAAUGUUACAGGAAAAUAUGAACGAAACAGAUAUGUCUACAGCAGAUGCUGUUUCACUAUUUAACUCGUCAUUAAAUAAAGCUCUUGAACGCCAAAAAGCUGAAAUACUGGGAGAAUUACGAAAAGGCACGGAAUCUUCAGCAAGUACUAAUGUGAGUACAAUUCCAAAAAAUGGUUCAAACGUUGAUACACAAGCUUGCCAACCUUCAAAAUUUGAAUUUAAACAAGAAGGAACUAAAAUUCAAUUUAACUUUAAUUCUGACCGCAUUGCUGCUUUACAAAAAAUUGAACUUUUGUUGAAGUCUGAGAAUAAAGAAGAUAUUGAAUCUGUUAUUAAAUCUGAGAUUGCUACUAUUAAUCAGCGCAAUAAGAUACUCAAAAUAGCAGACCGCCAUGGCUGGGAUACGGUCCAGGAGUAUUUGGACGACCCCUUAGCUGACAACGGUGAGGAUGCUACAAAAUUGCGUUCAGCGGUCAUAAGGGCAUCCAGAAAGAGGACUCAUUUCAACAAGCCUUACAGCAGAGGAGCUUCUAGAGGAGGAUUCAAUCCCAGAGCCUUUUUUCGUGGCUUCAGCCAGAACUUUGGACAGAGAACCGACAUGUACACUCAAAACACAGCGCAGAACGCCACACAGUACAACGACGGGUUGUGUUUCUAUUGCAAGAGGCCAGGGCACAUCGCAAAAUUCUGUCCAUUUAAACCCAUUCUCUCAAGAGGAAAACCUAACACCCCAGCAACAGCCACCAGUACCAGUGCAGAAUAACGACUUGGAGACAGAACAAGUUGAGUAUUUGGGCAAAAAUUAUGAAUUCAUGAAUAAAGAUAAAGUAGUAAAGAACAGAUUGAAAAAUAAUGCAAAAUUUUGGGAAAAUACAUUAAAUCCAUCAGAGUUAGUUUUAAGUACAGUAAAGUAUGGUUAUGUUAUUCCUUUUAUACAAGAUCCUACUUCUGUAUGUCUUAAGAAUAACAAAUCAGCCUUUGACAACUCUGAGUUUGUAGAAAAAGCUAUAAGAGAAUUACUUGACAGCAAGUGUAUUUCAGAGGUUUCAGAAAAGCCAUAUGUUGUCAACCCAUUGACAGUAUCGGUAAGUGAUUCUAGGAAACAAAGACUAGUUUUAGAUCUAAGGCAUGUGAAUGAAUAUGUCUUAAAACAGAGAAUAAAAUUUGAGGGCGUUAAGGAAGCGAAGCAAUAUGCUAAGAAGGGUUAUUAUAUGUUCAAAUUUGAUUUACGUUCAGAAUAUCAUCAUGUUAACAUACAUUCAGAACAUCAAAAAUUUCUUGGUUUUUCAUGGUAUAUGGACGGUGCCCACAGAUAUUUCGUUUUUACAGUUUUACCAUUCGGUUUAUCUUCGGCCGGGCAUAUUUUCACAAAAAUUGUACGAACAUUAGUGAAUUAUUGGAGAGCUCAGAGUUUUCCGAUUAUUGUGUAUCUAGACGAUGGGUGAGCGUGUGAUACAAAAGAAAAAUGCAUACAUAUGGCAGAAUCUGUACAUUCUACGCUAUUGCAAGCAGGUUUUCUUCCAAAUUAUGAAAAAUCUGUUUUUUCUCCAUCUCAGAUAUUGGACUGGUUAGGUUUUACAUGGAAUUUAGAAUCUGGUGUUAUCCAGGUGCCAACAAGUAAGAUAGAAAAAAUAAAAGGUACUUCUUGGACUGAUGUUCAUCAAUUUGCAGAACUGAAUAAAACGUUCGAAGGCAGCAGUCAGCAUAUUCUGAAUAUCGUUAAAAGUAGUAAAUCUACAUCUACAAAUAAGAAGUAUGAAGUGUAUUUUAAAAAGUUCAGAGAAUGGUGUAUUAAAAAUAAGUGUUCUUAUCUUCCAGCAUCAGUGCCUUCCGUAGCAGUUUAUUUAAGUGGUUUUGUUCAACAAAGUGUGUCUUUUUCUGUAUUUUGUGCACAUCUUUACAGCAUCAAGUGGUUUCAUGAAUUCAAUUUAAAGAAAAAUCCGUGUGAUGAUAAAUUAAUUCAUAUGAUGACAGAAGGAGCAAAGAGAAUACUCGGAAAACCAACUACGAAAAAAGAGCCUAUAACAGUAGAGCAUUUACAGCAGAUUGUGAAAAAAUUUGGUGCAGAUCUUUCAAAUUUAUUCAAUGUCAGGAUUUGUGCAAUGGUGUUAUUGUGUUUUGCGGGUUUUCUGCGGUACAGUGAGCUUGCUAAUUAAAGAAUGUCAAAUCUAAAAUUUCACGAUACAUAUAUCAUUUUGAAUAUUGAAUGUGGAAAGACAGACGUCUACAGAAGAGGCAACAACGUAAUUGUUUCAAAGACAGGUUCAUCAACGUGUCCAGUGAGAUGGCUUUUAAACUAUAUUGACUUGGCAAGUUUGAGUGUUGAUUCUGAUGAAUACGUUUUUAGAUCCGUCAGAUACUUUAAAUCACUAGGAAAGUACAAGUUAGUUUCACAAAAUCGUCCAUUGUCGUAUACUAGAGCCAGGGAAAUUUUUCGAGAAGCAUUGUCACAGAUUGGCGUGGACAGUAAAGCAUUUUGUCUACACAGUUUGAGAAGUGGGGGCGCCACUGCGGCAUCUAACAAUUGUGUGUCCGACAGGUUGAUUAAAGAGCACGGCAGAUGGCGCACAGAUUUUGCGAAAGACGGAUAUAUCAAGGAUAAUGUUAAAACACAAACUUCUGUUUCUCUAAAUUUGGGAAUAUAAGAAAACAAACUUAUUAAUGAUUUCAGUGUAAAUGUAUAUGAUUAAAAUAAAUAAAUAAUCAUAAAUUUCAUAAAACAUCUGCCCUUUGUCUCGAGGUUAUAGCGAGUAGCACUCCUAAAAUGGUCUUUCUUGUUAUUACUUAGAAUAGAAUUAAUUUAUAUUCGGACGAACAAAGUGAGGGAGAAUAUAAAUAAAAUUCAUUUCGUUGUUUACUUGCUAAAAAUACUCAUAGAUCACGUGACUAGGUAACUAUAAAUACACUGGGUCAUACGCAUUCUUUAUCGACUCUCGCUAUAACCUCGAUUCACGUAUAUUCACGCCAAAUAAUGAAUUUCACGAAAAAGAUUUAUUGUCUGUCGAAAUACUGAUUUAUGCAUGCUUAGUUGACUGAAGAAUAUGUGUAAAUAAAUAUCAUAAAUUUGAUUGACAAUUGAUUAAAGGUUAUAGCGA